rnacentral:misc_RNA from 1 species
GAUGAAGAACGUAGUGAAAUGCGAUAAGUAAUGUGAAUUGCAGAAUUCAGUGAAUCAUCGAAUCUUUGAACGCACCUUGCACUCCUUGGUAUUCCGAGGAGUACGCCUGUUCGAGUGUUAUGAAGCUCUCAAAACGCAAUUGGCUUAAAACCUGAUUGUUGUUUUGGAUUUGAACUUUGCCGUGUUAUAACGGCUGGUUUUAAAAGUAUUAGCUGGUACUAGAACGAAUUGGUUCUACUCAACGUGAUAAUUAUCUGAUCGUUGAGGACAUUCCUUUCACGAGGAAUGGCCAUAGUAAAUUCAAUGGACUGCUUCUAAUCUGGCUUUAAUUCUUUAUUGGAUUAACCACUUUUCAAAUCUGACCUCGAAUCAGGUGGGACUACCCGCUGAACUUAAGCAUAUCAAUAAGCGGAGGA